rnacentral:lncRNA from 1 species
AGUGUGUUUGAUUAAAAUCGCAGUUCAUGCAUAUUCGAUCAUCAUUUAACUUGGACUAUCACAUGCAAAACUGUUUGGACUCGUUCUACAAAAUAUAUUCUCCUAAUUUAAUAGUUUAUCUACUGCAUUAUUUAUCUUUGAUUUUUUGUUUAUAUUCAACUGCGAGAUCAUAUUAUUAGACAUGAGACAUUGUUAUCUAAGGUAACAUGCUAAUCAUGGCUCUGUUAUCAUUCCUCAUCAUUUAAUUUUCGCUUAUUAUAUUGUUUUUUUUUUUUUUUGGUAACUCUGGUAUAAUUUCUUUGUUCGUAUUUAUGAUAUAUUUGAUGUAUACAUCACAAAGACAUGUACAGCUAGCCAGCUACUAGGGGUUGGUUGUAUAGUUUCGCCACCAUACUUCCCACACACGUGCAUACUUAACUGAGUACAAUUGUACAAAUUCUAAUUUCCCUUCUUAAUGUACCUCCUAAUCCUAUAACCAACUAACUAAUUAGAAUUAACAUUAGGUACGUAUCGUUUUCUCUCUUUUUGCAUUCCAACAACGCAAGAUGCAUUUGCUUUUGUUUUUCUUUUUUCCAUUAACUAUUUGGAAAACAUUAGUUUUGCUUUAUGAUUCGACCAUAAACAACAGUUGUGGACUUGUAGGAAUUCAUGUCUUUGGAAUAAAUAAUAAUUUUCGGUUUCUAAUAAUAAUUUUUUGAUUAUUUAAAAAAAAUAAUCAAAGGUGUGCCCUAGAAUUUCACUCGUUUAGCUGACCAUUAUGGGUGGGAGGGGCCCAUUAUAAGCAAGAAAUCACGAGAACCUGACUGUGUUUCCUAAAUGGUCCAAAGCGCGUGUUUUAAAGCUCGUGCCUGCCGGAACCGGAUCAAAACGAUGGAAUUGAACGUGUCGGCUUGGGUUUUGCUUCACACGUUUGUAUCUUUAUCUUUUUACUAAUUAGUCUUUAAGAUUUUAGUGGUCUUUUUUUAUUUUAUUAAAUAUUUCUGAAGCGUUAAUUUUGAAAUUGUCUUAAAUUUCUAUGUACUAGUAAAUAAUGUACCAGUAAAAAUGUCAAUAAAUAUAUGUCAAUUAGAAAAGUUAAUUACUUUUUCUACAAUAAAUAUAUUUUCCUAAAUGGGAAAACCGUCUUUUAGAUUGCUAUAAUUAAAUACAUGUCUAAAGAAUUAUAAAUUUAAUUAUCUUCAUACAAUCAAUAUUUAAAUUCAAAAUGAUUAUUUACCUCACUUUGUUUUUCUGCUUUAAUAUUUCUUUGCUUUCUUUCAAUUGAUUCGCGUUUGUUCGUGACAUUAUUUCACAUGAAUUUCGUAGAUAUAUUAUAUUAAUAAAAAAUGCAAACCAAAAAAUCAUGUCACCUGCUAAGUGGUCUAUGAGACAUUUCUAAUCUUUUUUUUCUCCUUUUUCAUACAUUUUAAAAAUUUUAAUUUUUUUUUUGUUAAUCAAAAGCUCAAAGAAAUACAUAUUGAUGUGGAGCACUAUUAAUAACAGCUAGAAAUUCAUGCAAUCUCUUACAAAAAUAUUAUUUUAGUUGUUUGAUUAUGUUUUUAAUUUGGUACAUCAGUCAAAAGAGGGUAAACGGUACUUGAGUCUCUCAUAGUUAGAAAUGAGCAUCUCAUCUCUUGUUAUUUAUUUAUCAACGAGAAACUCUCUAAAUUUUUCUUACUAAUAGUGAUCUAAUAUAGUUUUACAUCUUGGGUUUACUCUGAUCUUGUUUUGUUAACCUUUCCAGUUGUAUUAUAUUUUGGAGAUUGCCCAUCAAAAUAUACCUUUUUAUCAUCUGAUGGAUUAAUUUUGCAAUAGCUAAAGAGUCCAGCAAUGGUUAGGAUCAAAAUAUACCUUUUUAUCAUCUGAUGGAUUAAUUUUGCAAUAGCUAAAGAGUCCAGCAAUGGUUAGGUUACAAGUACGUCACCAACCCAACACAAAACCCCUACAACAAAUUAAAGGCCAAAGUAGGCACAGGAAGUAAAUACAACAUGAAAAGACAGGACAAAUCCAAAAAUAGUCCGCUUCCUAUAUUUGAUCCAAAAAUGAUUCAUAUACCUCAACUAAAAGCAGCCAUUCAACUAGACAGAGGGUGAAACCUCCUCGUUCUCAAAAAAUUCCUUCAGCCAAAAUGGGGGGUCCUGUGCACAAGACUCAUUAAAUCCAUCUCUAGUUACACUUUGAACAAUGAAAAAAGUCUCUCUAUAGAUUGACGAGCCUAUUCAUGAUUUGCGCAUACUAACUCCGAAAGUUGGGCUACGCAUUUGGUCUUAAGAUCACUUUUGGUAACGUAGCAUCAUCAAUGGCGACAAUGAUUCGCCUAAGAUGAUGGUAGCUUAAACUUUCAACUGACCAUAUCAACCCUUGGAACUUCGCAUCUUCUAAACUUCCAAUAUUGGAUAAAACUUUACUACUGUGCAUGAGAACCUUACCCCCAUCAUCUCUCACCACCCAAGCUAAUUCCAGUGUUGUACUUAAACCAACCCUUUGGAGGAGCCGACCAUAGCCCAUCAAAAUAUACCUUCUACGUAAUAAUCCGCAUGGGUUGCUAAACAAAAAACCUGAGUCGCGUAUUUUGGACGUACUCCCACUCCUAUUUAAAAUUCACGAGCCCGCUCAAACAUGUGGCCCACACUAGAAUUAACAAGUAAAUCAUUGGGCUUAUAUAGAGUAGUUAGGAUAAUAGAUAAUUGAUCGGUGGCCCUAAACUUGUCCCAUAUUACAUUAGAUGAGCCAAAGGCAGACUUCUUUUGUUUCUUCUUUGACCUUUUUGACGUGGUUGAGAAUUAAGAAUCUACUUAGUGCGCUCAUCACAUGCUCGCUUGAUUAAAAAAGUAGUUAGAUUUGAAUAAGACAAAAGAUAAUUGUGUAGGUGAUAAUUAGAAAAGUGGUUAAUUAUGUUAAGCGUCCAAGAGAAUGCCUUUCCACGUUGGGCGCACAUGCAUUCUCUUGUCUUCUUUCUUUAUUUUCUACACAGAUAAUUGUUCAUCAAAUUAGUUACAGCAUGAAGUAGUUCGACAAUAAGAGAAAUAAAGAACCAUACGGGGGGCGUAUAUUAAAAACGAUUAAGAAUACGCAUUAUACGAUCCAGUAUCACCGUCCCUAACGUUGUAGACAAACAUUAAUAUGGUCUUUGGUCUUCCUCUGACACAAAACAAGAUCGUCUGAGAGCUACCACUUGCUUCCUUACAUACUCAUUAUCAAAGAUCAUACAUAUCUCUCUCUCUCUCUCUCUCUCAGACUUCAACUCUUUUAAUUUGUACUGGUCAACAGUCAAACCCGAGACUGAGUGAUUAGUUUUAUAACAAGAUUAAUCCACAUAUAAUUAGAUGCUCAAGUAGUGACUUGAUGAUCCCCAUAAUUAAGUAGACUACCUUCCAUCAUGCGGCCAUCAUUGAACCCUUUAUAUCCCAAUUAUUAUUCACAAUCAAAACACCAAACUCAUUGUGUUUAAUUUUAUGUAUUGUAGCUUGUAAGAGGGAAACUCUUAACGUUUCACAUAAGAAAUAUUCAGGGUUUGUUUCUCUUUUUCUCUGGAGUGUGUUUGAUUAAAAUCGCAGUUCAUGCAUAUUCGAUCAUCAUUUAACUUGGACUAUCACAUGCAAAACUGUUUGGACUCGUUCUACAAAAUAUAUUCUCCUAAUUUAAUAGUUUAUCUACUGCAUUAUUUAUCUUUGAUUUUUUGUUUAUAUUCAACUGCGAGAUCAUAUUAUUAGACAUGAGACAUUGUUAUCUAAGGUAACAUGCUAAUCAUGGCUCUGUUAUCAUUCCUCAUCAUUUAAUUUUCGCUUAUUAUAUUGUUUUUUUUUUUUUUUGGUAACUCUGGUAUCUGGGCAGC